CUCUGCGGCCGCUUCUGAGUGCGACACACCUGUAGUUGGAGAUCCUUAAGUUACAUAGUUCUGUGUUAAAAUAGUUUCAUUCUGUUUAACAUGAUCCUUGGAAAAGCUAAGAAAAAAUCCACCUAUCCUGUGCCUCUCCUGCCCGCCUCCAGCUGACUUUCCUCGCCAACAGUCAGGGAUCGGCUGUUGCUUCUCUUCUGAUCCUCGCCGGCUUGCCUUUUGGAGAAGCGGUAUCGGAAACAGUUUUAAGAUAAACCUACUGAGAAGAUAGAAGACUUACUUUCAUCAUCUGAAUCAAAUCCAAAGAGUGUCUGACAUUUCUUUUGUGCAAGGAUGCUUGUCCUUUUCGACUGAGAACAGCUUCGGGAGGGACGCACAUGGAGCAGAGAGGGAAGAAGGGGACACCUGCCUCACCUGCCAGAUCAGGUGAAUCAACCCUGGCGAUCAACAAGGUGACAGAUGUCGCAGCCAGAUCACCUUCACAUCCAGCUGAUCACAAAACUGAGUCUCAGAGAGGUCAAAUGACUUGCCCAAGGACAAAGAAUUAAUUAAGUAAGUGGCAGAGCAGGAACGGGAACCCAUACUUUAUGAUUUCAAAUCCAAAAAUGUUUUAAUUAGUUAUAUAUGUUUAAUCAGCAGCUUCUGAAAUGCCUAUGAAUAAUGUUUUAUUUGGGCUUCAACAUUUGCCUUGCAGUUCUGUUUACAGUAUGUGAUAAGCAGACACUGAUUUGUAUAAUUAAUGCAAAGAUAAACUUCAAACUGAUCUUUACCCUAAUGAUCACCAACUAGAGGAGAGUCAUCCAUAUUAAUGAGGUUCUAGAGCAGCUUUUCCCAGAGUGAGGUAUGCCAGCUACUGUCAGUACAAGAGGAAUAUGUAUGAAAGGACUAGAUAUAGUGUAAACUGUAUAUAUUGAGGCCAUCAGCCCUCAUUAACCAACAACAGGUUUGUUGUAGCUCUGACUCAGAGAAGCCUAAGAGCUACUACUCUAAAAGCCCAAACUUCUCCUCUGUUCUUACUCCCUAUAAAUCUGUCUUUGCCUAGCUCCUUUCCCCUCUGGCCACAUUCCCCAGUUUCCUCAGAGAUUCCUGCAGGCUGUCACCCUCAUCUUCCCUAUAAUUUGAUGGUCCAUACUUUUCCUCAAUAAUUCAACUCUUUCUCCUCCAAUCAACUACCUCCAUCUUGAGUUUUCUUACUGCUUUCUGAGACCGUGACAUCAAGUGCUAGUCUCCGUUGCAUCCUUUGUGUAUAUACCACUAUAGCGCUGCCACCUGUACCUUAGCCCUUUCCUUCUAGUCUUGUCCUACCUCCUAUCUCAUCUCACCACUUUGCACUACUUCUCCUGGUCUUAACUAUUUUUUUUUCAUCUUCUCUCACAUCUCUGUUCUAGUCUUCUGUACUUGUAUCUGGGGUCAGCUGGCUCUUAAGCCCUAGAAUCACAGCUCCUUCUCCACUCAUUUCUACUCAAAACCCAUCCCCAUCCCUUUACCUGGGACAAAUGGAAAGAUUCUAAACUAUUUAGGAUAAUCAGUGGGGCAAGAUGUCUUUCUCACCAGACCAAUUUCUGAAUGGAUCCAGAGCCGAGAGGUUUUGUCUUUUCGCUCUGGCCACGUUACAAUUGCAUGCCAUAGACCCUCUCCAUGCUCUCAAGUGUGUCCACACUUUUGUGCUUAUUCACUGCUGCUGAACUUACAUUCUAAGUUUUGGUGACCCCAAAUGUUCUGAAGCUCGGGAAUAAUAUGGCAAAUGUUUCUUUAAAAUAAUUAGCUAGAAGUAGUCAACCGAGAUUCCUGCCUCAGAAGGAAAUUCUGGCUCACAGGAACCACUGUGAGUCUAUGUUGGAGAGGAAGUGAUGUCAAAAAAAAGUACACAGGUGGUAAGGGUAUGAGACAAAAUUUAACUUCUAUUAAUGAAUGAAGUUUGGGAAAUACUGCUCUUGAGUAUUUGGAAUUGAAAUUUAGUUAUUCAUCUAACUAGUCAUUCAUUCACUUUGCAUUCAUCAUGUGGUUGUUCAUUCAACAAACACUUAUACUGAGCACCUACUCUGUACCAGGCACCAGGCCAGAUGCAGGAUAUACAGUGAUGUAUAUUAAACCAAAAAGUGAAGGAGUUCCAUCCUUCACAGAGCUUCCUGUAGAAGGGAGAUUCCAUGUACUUAAGCAGGGUUUUUGUUUUUUUUUUUUUAAAGUGUUCUUUCUUAAACAGAUAUUUUAAAAAUAUAGCCGAAGUGACAAAAACAAACUCUAUAAAUAAGUAGUAUCUGGAUAGUAAAUGUAUUAACACUCUGAAUUCCCAUUAGAAUAAAUGGGAAAUUACUAAAAAUAACUGUACCUAGUCUUGUGUCAAAAGUCACUCUUGGGCCAGGUUAGUAUAACAAAUUAAACACACUUCAUGUGAAAAUACAUUCCUCUUCUUCAAUAUUAUAAAAUAAAGAAGAAUCACUACUACUGCUCUAGUUAGAAUAUGAAAUUGUGUUUGCUUCUCACAAAUGUUGGUUUGGAUUUUGAGUCUCCUGAAGUACCUAUCUCCUGAGAUGCUGGCUGGGCUUUUAGAACAGCUUGCAACACUGGAUCUUCCCAUGGGCCACCAUCUCUAAUGAUUCGAGUCACCAGUUCCAGAUUCACAUUUCCAUAUCUGCGGAGGUGAUUCUGGCAUUCCUAGGAGAGAAAAAUCAUUUUGGCUUUGUGAAUUUAAAGGGGUUAAAGACUAAACUUGAUCAUCAUUGUCAAUAAAAUGACUGAUGGUCAAUGAGGCAGCUGUUAAAUUAUAAAAGAGAAAGGGUUGCUGUAUUAACCUAAGUAGGGUAUCAAAACCCCAUUCAUAUACAAAUAGGCUUAAAUGCCAAAGGUUACACAGUUUGUACAUAACUGGACUUAGAAAAUCCCAUUAUAAUAGGGAUGAAGUGUAACCUAAGGGAAAAGUGUAAGGGAUGCAUCAUUUCUAGAAGGAAAAGAACCAGGUUGCAAAAAUAUAAGACGUGUAUAUUCAGUUAAAUUUAUGUGAGGGCUCGUGACGUUUCCAUCAACAGUGGCAGGCAAGAGCCUGACAAUUCUAAGAAGGGGAUAGAGAGGUUCCUGCCCAAUGCAGACUCUGGCUGACAGGUAGUACAAAUCCCCUCCCCUAAUCCCAAAUGUAGAAUCUCAGAUAUGGCAGAAGGCUGGAAGAUGGAAAUUCUAUUCCACUUGUUAUGUAAGUAGAUUUAUAGUCUUGGGAUGAGAAAUGACAGGUUGAAGGAAUGCAUCCAGCCUAUAAUAUGAAGACUCUGCAUUAGGUUUAAGGUAAAAAUAUUACUGAUAAAUUGGGCAUUAACUGAUAAUUUGUCUUUGCAUUUGGGGGUAUUUUUUAAAAGAUAUUUGAAAUGUUUUUAGAGAAUGUGUUAUCUUAAGACUUGUGAUUAAAAUAUGAAUUAUGUAACAUGCAGUCUGUAAACAAUGUUUAAUAUUUAGGAGAACUUGGUUUAUAUAUUUUAGAAUUAGAUUUACAAGAUUUAAUCAUAUGAUUAUGCUUUUUUGAUUCAUUAUAUACUUUGUUAGGUGUUUUUUAAAAUGUUUCAGGGAAUUUAAUUUGAUAAUUUAAAAAGAUUAACUGAAGGCCUAGUGAAGGUAUGGACAGAUUUUUUUUUAAUGCAUAAACUGAGCUUAUUUAAGGCCUUAAGAAAAAUCUGGAUAUUGAAAUUAGCAUUGUUAAAAACUGGAAUAAACUGCACAUCAAUUAAAACACAAACAACUGUCAAGAAUUUUUCUGUGCUCAAAAAAUCCCAAAGACGUGAAAAGCUUAGUAACAGUUAUAAAGCGAAGCUUCAAGAUAAAACAAUAUAUAUUUACAAAUUUCACUUAGCAGAUGAAUCAUUAGGCUACAUAUUCAAAGUAGCAAUAAACACUUGCUUUUAUUAAACUGUCAUGUUCUUCUAUCAUUUGAAUGUUCCAAAGUGAUAUCUAUAUGCCACUUUCAUUCAUUGUUAAAAUACACAAAGGUUUUGUUUUAUAAGAGAACAGGGCAGUAGAAGAAAUCAAGUUUCAAGAUAAAGAAUUAUUCAAAGAAGUCAAAGGAUCAUUAAAUGAAAACAUGAAAGAAAUGCUGCAUCACCAACACUUUCGAUGCCACGGAAGACAAAAUGGUAUAGAGAAACAGACACUGAUGACUGAAGUGGAAAAGCGAUUCCGGAGUCAGAUUCUGAAUGUGAAGUUUUAGAUAUACCUUAGCCAAUUGAGUUUGCUUAUAGUUUUCCUACUUUAUGUAUGUACCAGAGAGAUCAAUCAUAAAAAUCUGUUUUAAAUCGGUCUAAAAGCUCUCUUUCAAUAAACAUGAAAUAAAAUUCUAGGUGAGAGAAAGCACUGCACAAUUUUUCUGUUACUCUAACGAUUUGCUUCCUAAAGGUAGAAUGCAAUACCCUUGGGUUAACAUAAUAAGCCUUGCUUGUUAGCACCAUAGAAAUAAAUGCAAGAUAUGGUGUCUGAACAACUUCGCCCCUAGGGGGAGCUCAAAGUACAUCUUCCUUUAUUCCACCCCAGACACGUGCAAAGAGAUACUGCCAAGGACACAAUAGUGAGCCACAGUUCUAGGUAUUGCUUCUCAACUAAAUGGUAAAAACAUCAAAUGUUCUUCUAACUACAGGUGAGGUCUUAGAUCUUUCAGAUUCCUUCUGGAUUUACUCUUCACUCAUAGAGCACGUGCAAAAAAAACUUGCCUCCUUUCUUGGGAAGGUUAUUAAGAAAGUAGAUGAGAUAAUCAGGAAACAGCCAAGGGAAAAAGUGAUAUGGAACAGACAGCCUGCCUCUAGUUUAGGCAAAAAGAGUCCUUUUUCUAGAGCUGAGUUCUACAUGGGGCUUUGGAACGAAGGCCUGUAGCAAUAAAAAGCAAGUAUACGUCUGGGACGUGCUUGGGAAUCUACAAGGGAGGUGGCAGCAAGCUCUAGUCUAGUAAAUGUGGAAUUAGAAUCCUAUCUAUGAUCUGUGUAGAAAUACAGCCAACAGUUAAUUUUAAGAACUUUCUUUUUCUUCCAAGAUAAUAGUAUCUUAAGCAUUGCCACCUUAGUAAAUAUAAAAACUUAUAAUCAAUACACUAUUUUUAAGGGAAGAAUAAAAAUAAAGGCUGGUUUUAAAUGUAGACAAAAUGAUCAGUAGUUAACUGUUUUACCUGGAA